rnacentral:lncRNA from 1 species
AUGAAUCUGUUGGCAUCCCAAUCUUAACGAAGGACAUGAAUUGUUAAAUUCGAAUUUGGCCUUGAUACUCAGAAAAUUAAAUAAAACAAAGCAAAUUUAUAAUUAAAAAAAAAACAAUACAUAGUACUAAAAAAAACAAGUAACAACAUAGACGAUACCUAUCUUUUGCUUGAACAAAGGAAAGAAGUCUAUUGAGCAUAGUUCACA